rnacentral:rRNA from 1 species
GCGAGAAGUCAAUUAGCUUGCUAUGAGACGGACAGCGGCGAAAGGGAGAGUAACGCGUGGUUACGUGCCCUCGGGACCGGGAUAGCGUUGGGAAACUGGCGGUAAUACCGGAUAACAUCUUUGGAUCAAAUGGUGUGAUUCCGCCCGAGGAUCGGACCGCGUACUAUUAGCUUGUUGGUGGGGUAACGGCCUACCAAGGCUGCGAUGGUUACCGGGUGUGAGAGCAUGGCCCGGCUCACUGGGACUGAGACACUGCCCAGACACCUACGGGUGGCUGCAGUCGAGAAUCUUCGGCAAUGGACGAAAGUCUGACCGAGCGACGCCGCGUGCGGGAUGAAGGCCCUCGGGUUGUAAACCGCUGUCAGUUGGGAGGAAAUGUCGGGGGGUUCUCCCCUCGGCUUGACCGAUCUUCAGAGGAAGGACGGGCUAAGUUCGUGCCAGCAGCCGCGGUAACACGAACCGUCCAAACGUUAUUCGGUAUCACUGGGCUUAAAGCGUGCGUAGGCGGCCUGGAAGGUGAGAUGUGAAAGCCCACGGCUCAACCGUGGAACUGCGUUUCAAACCACCAGGCUUGAGGAAGACAGGGGUGAUGGGAACUUAUGGUGGAGCGGUGAAAUGCGUUGAUAUCAUAGGGAACACCGGUGGCGAAAGCGCAUCACUGGGUCUUUUCUGACGCUGAGGCACGAAAGCUAGGGUAGCGAACGGGAUUAGAUACCCUGGUA